rnacentral:rRNA from 1 species
AAUAUUGCACAAUGGGGGAACCCCUGAUGCAGCAACGCCGCGUGAGCGAUGAAGGCCUUCGGGUCGUCACGCUCUUUCCUAAGGGAAGAUAAUGACGGUCCCUUAGGAGGAAGCCCCGGCUAACUACGUGCCAGCAGCCGCGGUAAUACGUAGGGGGCAAGCGUUAUCCGGAAUCAUUGGGCGUAAAGGGUGCGUAGGCUGCCCUAUAGGUCAGAGGUCAAAGGCUACGGAUCAACCGUAGUAAGCCUUUGAAACUGUAGGGCUUGAGUGCAGGAGAGGGGAGUGGAAUUCCUAGUGUAGCGGUGAAAUGCGUAGAUAUUAGGAGGAACACCAGUGGCGAAGGCGACUCUCUGGACUGCAACUGACGCUGAGGCACGAAAGCGUGGGUAGCGAACA